rnacentral:rRNA from 1 species
GAUGAACGCUGGCGGCGUGCCUAAUACAUGCAAGUCGAGCGAACAGACGAGGAGCUUGCUCCUCUGACGUUAGCGGCGGACGGGUGAGUAACACGUGGAUAACCUACCUAUAAGACUGGGAUAACUUCGGGAAACCGGAGCUAAUACCGGAUAAUAUAUUGAACCGCAUGGUUCAAUAGUGAAAGACGGUUUUGCUGUCACUUAUAGAUUGAUCCGCGCCGCAUUAGCUAGUUGGUACGGUAACGGCUUACCAAGGCAACGAUGCGUAGCCGACCUGAGCGGGUGAUCGGCCACCCGGGAACUGAGACACGGUCCCGACACCUACGGGAGGCAGCAGUAGGGAAUCUUCCGCAAUGGGCGAAAGCCUGACGGAGCAACGCCGCGUGAGUGAUGAAGGUCUUCGGAUCGGAAAACUCUGUUAUUAGGGAAGAACAAAUGUGUAAGUAACUAUGCACGUCUUGACGGUACCUAAUCAGAAAGCCACGGCUAACUACGUG